AAUAAUGAUUUCUUGCUCAGGUUCAUUACCUUGUGAAUAUGAGCUGCCAGGAAAGUUUCAGACUAAAUGCAGUUUUAGUUUCUGAGGAAGCAAUCAGAGAAGAGGACGGAUGCUAGCAGGUUAAUGUCUCUACCAGUGAUCACACAUCCCGGAUCAUACGCCACUAGAUUCCGGAAACUUCUUGGCACCUACUUCAAAUUCUCUACAUAAAAGAAUACAAUCAACAUGAAAAAAAAAGUUCAAUAUCACUGAUCAUUUGAGAGAUGCAAAUUAAAACAAC
rnacentral:lncRNA from 1 species